AGUGAACGCUGGCGGUAGGCCUACACAUGCAAGUCGAACGGCAGCACAGUAAGAGCUUGCUCUUACGGGUGGCGAGUGGCGGACGGGUGAGGAAUACAUCGGAAUCUACUUUUUCGUGGGGGAUAACGUAGGGAAACUUACGCUAAUACCGCAUACGACCUACGGGUGAAAGCAGGGGAUCUUCGGACCUUGCGCGAUUGAAUGAGCCGAUGUCGGAUUAGCUAGUUGGCGGGGUAAAGGCCCACCAAGGCGACGAUCCGUAGCUGGUCUGAGAGGAUGAUCAGUCACACUGGAACUGAGACACGGUCCAGACUCCUACGGGAGGCAGCAGUGGGGAAUAUUGGACAAUGGGCGCAAGCCUGAUCCAGCCAUACCGCGUGGGUGAAGAAGGCCUUCGGGUUGUAAAGCCCUUUUGUUGGGAAAGAAAAGCAGCAGGUUAAUACCCCGCUGUUCUGACGGUACCCAAAGAAUAAGCACCGGCUAACUUCGUG
rnacentral:rRNA from 1 species